AUCUCAUCCUUCUCUCUGCUUUCCAUUGAGACGUCUGCCAUGCAUUCGUCUCUGGAUCCUGACAUCUUCAACACAUAGUGCAAUCCUUUCGUCUCUUCUCCAUUGGUCUGACACCCAAACCAAGUCUAACCUUGUCCUUUUUUCGCUCCCACUUCGCUCGCUUCCUGCGAUCCGCGUCCGAGUCCUGCCCGGCCGCAUUCGAGCUUCGAAAAUAUGAACUCGUUAUCGAGCACGCUGCAGACCCUCUCUCUGUCGACAUGUCGACCCGAGUUUGAUGGCGCUCCAAGACUGUGAGUUCCUCUUUCGCACUGACGCCUAGUUGAAGCAUCGCGUCUGUUCAAGGCACCAAAAGACACUCUUGUCUUUACAGAGCUUCUUGACGCACUUUCACAGGCAUCGAAUCUCCUCGAGUCCGCCGUGGGUGCCGAAUUGCUCUUUUGAGCUUUAAGGCCGUCUGCCAGACAACCUGUCGAAUCGAGGUCACGCCAGUCACUGCGCUGCAUGCCAUCGAUGGGACGCUUUGCGCCGUUGACAGUGUCGCUCUCCUUGAGCUUGACAGGUCCUCAGGCUGCAUUCCUCAGCUCGCGCCUUGCUUCACAGCUGGGCUGCCUCGAGAUGCUUGCUUGACAACCGCUUGUUUCUCGAAACUCGCGAGCAGUUGACGGCUUUGAACAGCUGACUGCGUUUGUCACAUCUCCGCCCCAUCGCUCCAUGGGUCCUGAACGGCUUGUCCUAGUAAGGUGUGGCUCGGUCCUGCAUCGACCU